CGGCUCCCUCAGUCUGGCGUCAUCUAGGUCGCUGCUCAGGGAAAUGCGGAGGCCAGUAGGCUUACGUGUUUACCGCGUAGGGCAAAGCCUUGCCAAAUUCCCGGCCAGCGGAGCGGCGAGGGUGGGGACUCACGGGAAGUUAAACAGCCUCGUCGGCGUCCUCGAGGCUCCAAAACCAGGCUCUAGGCGGGGACGACUGCAGCCGUUAUGGAGGCCACCGCGGCUACGGCCGCGGCUGAGGCCUCCCCAGGUGGAGCGGUGGCCUGGAGGGGAAUCUUGAUCCUGGGCCAGCCACCUGUCAAGAGGAGGCGGAGCGUCAUGCCUCUGGAAGACUGGAUGAAUAUUCUCCAGGAGCCUGACGAAGGCGUGAGUAAUAGGGACGUGCGCCGCCUUGUUGGUGUUGAUCAGUCCACCAAGGAGAAGCAGCUGGUCGCAGUGGCCGUACCUGUAAUCCCAGCGCUUUGGGAGGCCGCGGCGGGAGGAUCGCUUGAGCCCGGGAGUUCGAGACCAGCCUGGGCAACAUAGUGAGAAACCCGUCUCUACCAAAAAGAAAAAAAAAAAAAAAGGAAAAAAAUUAGUGCGGUGUGGUGGCACGCACCUGUAGUCCCAGCUACUCGGGAGGCUGAAGCGGGAGGGUCCCCUAAGUCUAGGAGGUCGAGGCUUCAGUGAGCGGUGAUUGUGCCACUGCACUCCAGCCUGGGCGACAGAGCAAGACCCUGCUUUCCCCUCUUGUCCUCCACUACCCUCAGGAAACCAAGAAAGACCAGCGUGGAGAGUUGGUCGCCCAUCUGCUCUAAGCUGCUGUGUAUUCCCCUGUAAUGUAAACAUCGUGAAGGUGGAGACCCAGUUAACCUUUUAGGUGGAAGGCCAGAUGACAGAGGGCGGCAUCUGACCCGGAAGGCCCUCUGCAACCAGGCCAAAUACAUCUACAGGGAACCAAUGGGAAACAUCUGGGGAGGACAACCCAAAUAAGUAUCAUGCGAGCAAGGGAUGGUUUGAGAACUUUAAAAAUCGCUGCUGUUUUGCAACAUACGAAGUUGAUGGGGAGGAAGGACCCUUAAAUCCUGAGUGGGUAUCGAGUAUUCCAAGCAACUGGAGAGAGGCUUUGUGCCUCAACAGGUCUUCAACGCCAAGGAGAUGACCCAUCUUUUGCAGUGCAUGCCUUCCUACUUUUGGGGCAAAAGACAAAAAUCUGGAAAGCUUAGAGGAAGCUAAGGACAGGAUUUCCCUCAUUUUUUUGUGGCAGUGCCUCAGGUGACAAAAUGAUAAAACCACUGCUGCUUUACAAAGACUCUAACACCCCACUUGUCUUUUAGAGAUAAACGCCUUCCUGUUUUCUUGUAAUCACACCCAGAAUCACCACUGCCACUUUUUGGAUUAGUUUUACAAUUUUUUUAUCCAUCAAAUCCGAAGUCAUUUAACAAAAAAAAUCUGGAAAUCAGAAUGUUGCUAACUGUGGACAGAGGUCCCAAUCACCCAGAUUCAUUAUUCUUUGUUCAUUCUAAUGUUGAUACUGUGUUUCUCCCUCAGGAAGGCCCUAGCUUUCUUCAGCCCUUGGGUCAGGGUAUAACUGAAGCAUUUGAACAUAAUCAAGCAUAUGUUUGACCACUUUGCUGACUGUAUUGAAAAAACCCUCACCUUACUCUGAAAGAAGCAUGGCAACAGUACAAUAUUGCCGAUGCUUUGGUAGUGAUAAAAGAGGUGAUGGGUGAUAUAAAAUCAGCCACUCUUAAGCUUGCUGGAAACUGUGGGAGGAUGUGUGAAUGAUGCAUAUUUCCCUAGAGCUAAUGAAGAAGUUAAAAAAAAUCUUAGUGUCUGCAAAACAGGUGGGUUUAAGAUUUAUUGAUAUUAGGGAAAGUGAAAUUAAUGAGCUACUCAAGUUUCUGUCUUUGGUCAUCACUGAGAGUCUAUUUCCAUAGGAAGAAGUCUUUGCAGAGGAAAUUGAAUGCUGUCUGAUGCUACAAUUCAUAUGGAUCCUUUCCUGGAUUGAAGCCUGACUUUUAAAAAAGGUUUCAAUAAAUUGCUUAUACCUAUGAAGAGAUGCAAAAGAACCUUCAAAAUAAAGCAAAGGACUUGAAGAAAGAGAAGGAAGACAUGAAGAAGAGGAUGUCAUUUAGGUGAAGGUGAUGGAUACAGAAUCUGAGUCUGAGGGGAGCCUGGUUGACAGAGAGACAAAAAAAGAAAUUUUUUUUUUCUGACUAAAAAAAAAAAGGAAAUUUUGUUAACAAAAUCAAGAAUUUAAAAAAAAUGCUGUGAGAGCUGAUCUAUGCAUCUGGUUUGUGAGCCAGUAUUCUGUGAUGGCUGCAGUUUUUAGAGAUCCUAGUAGCUCUACACAUCUGUCUUCUGCUUUCCUAGAACCUGGGCACCCCAUGGAUGACUCACUGCUGGUUUUGUGUGUGUGUGUGUGUGAUUUAAAAUUACAUUCAGUCAACUCUAUAGCCCUAUGGGCUUUUUGAAUAACCAAAUGCUCAACAGUUCUGUAAUCUUUCAGGUUGCUGUGAUCAGUCCCCAAGGAGUCUACACUCUCAAAGAGACUGGGAAAGGCCUGUGAGACAAUGGGAUUCUUUUUUCUAGAGGUGUAACUCUGCCUGUGUUUGCAUGCCACCUCCAGAACCACUAAAAUAUAAUUUCUCAGUGGGUGACUGAGUAAGACUGGCAGCAAUUGCAAAAGCAGAUUCAUGCCAUGUGUCACUCUUCACAGUCAGGAACUUAUUUACCUCUUGGAACUUUCCAAAGGAACGAUGAUGGUGGCGGUAAUGUCACAUUAGUAUGGAGCCCUUAAAUUCAGCAGUGUUCAACCUGAGGGAAGACAGAGUAGGUCAAUUCUCUUGGCAGCAGCUGAGGGAAGGAGAGAGCAGGGAGCAGGGCUCAGAUAAGGUUUGUUUGGCAGGGUCCAAGCACUUCAUGGAAUGGAGACCUUUGGCUGUCAGAGAUCUGAGGAAGAUUUGUCAGGGCCUGCUACACUCUGAGGGCUUGCAGUUUGGAUGGUUGGGAACACUUCUUCCUUGCACUGAUGGUGCUCCUAUUUCUAUGACACGUGUACUAGUUCAGACACAAUUUAUUGUGUUCACCAAUUCUAUGCACAGCAAUCAGACUGAGAUUGAAAUCCAGUAUAAUAUUAAAGGUGAUCUGGGCCAGGCGCAGUGGCUCAUACUUGUAAUCCCAGCACUUUGGGACGCUGAGUUAGGGGGAUCACUUGAGGCCAGGAGUUUGGGACCAGCCUGGGCCAGAAAAUGAGACCCCAUCUGUAAAAAAAAAUUUUUUUUAGGUUAGCCAGGCAUGGUGGUGCAUGCUUGUAGUCCUAGCUACUUGGGACACUAAAGUGGGAGGAUUGCAUGAGCCCAGGAGUUCGAGGCUGUAGUGAGCUAAGAUUGUGCCUCUGCACUCCAGCCUGGGUGACAGAGCAAGACUCUGUCUCUAAAACACACACACAAACAACAUCUGACAAGGCAUUUCAGCCUGGAGUCAGUCAAAAAAUCUUAGAGGUCUGUAAAGGAGAUGACUAUGCUGUUAGGGCUGUGGUAGAAACCUUUAAUAACAAGUGAAAAGAGCUUGUAUUUGCCAAAAUGAACACAGGAUAUGAUUCUUUUUUUGCUUUUGCUUUGGAGUUGUAUCAGCUCUGUGCGGUCACAUGGGUAUCUACAAAUCAAAGCACCCAUCAACCAGAUGCAUCUCUGAGAGUUAACAGCAGAAGGUGGCAUAAUAAAAGAAGUUCUCGGUAGUGAAAAAGGUUGGAAACCACCAGCUAAACCAAUCCUCUUGUACCAAUAGGAGAUUCAAGUUGAGAGGUGGGAAAGGGCCUAUCUCAGAGUAGGUGCUUGAAUACUUCUUACUAGAAUGAAAGAAGGAACUUAAGAUCACACAGCCAUGUUACUGCAGGACGGGGAAUGGAACCUAGGUCUUCUUAUUUUUGGUUCAGUGUUAACUCCCAUUCUCUAAGCAGACUGGGCCUGUUAUUCAAACUGCCUUCCCAUAGGUGCUUCCCUGCUUCUCUCCUCACCCAGAGAAGGACUUACAAACAGCUUAUCUUCAGAGGUUUUGUGCCUGAUAGUUAUGGAAUGUGCUGGUUUGAGCAGGGAGGAUGUAAGGGGAGGGAAUGCUAAAAGCCUGUCUACUUAGAGUCAGGUUUCCUGGGUAAGUCCCUGGAACCCCAUCCCCUUCCCCUUUCUUGAGACCCCAGGACUUGCUCCAGUAACUGCCACCCUGUGCCUUUGCUUCAGGGCCAUGCUGGAUAAGGAGCUGGCUGCCUCUGUGAACAUCCUACUCAAGGCAUCUUCACUGCUGUACAUCCUUUUGAAAUCCCAGAGAUCUUCAGUCUCCCUGUGGAUUAAGGAGAUGUGCAGUAUUUAAAGUGGCUUCAGGAAGGCAUGGAAGAGGACUGAGUGGGGAAAGCUUUUUGUGCAUGCUGCUGGCUACCUCCAGCGGCUGCCUCCAGCCUCCAUCAGCUGCACUCUGGGGAAGAGGAGGCUGCCUUCUACCUCCCAGCAUCUCUGGAUUUCAUGUUCCUGUCAGCACAGAGGAGCUAAAUGGCCUGUAGAGGCUGAAGGUCUGAGGCUCCUAAAGCUGGAAGAAAAGGCUGGGCCAGUCAGGCCAAGCAAGAACACAGUGUAACUUGUCUCUGAGUGCUUCAUGGUUAAGGGGGCUAAGCAGGCACAAGGGCAUGAGGAUGGUUAUAUGUACAGACUGAGGGGAAGAAGCAGUGAAGAUGAGACUUGCCAUCUUCUUGAGUCAGUAGGCCUGCCUCAGGUGCCUAGGAUGUAAUUGCUCUGCUGCUUCUCAUGGGGAGGAGUGGCCCUCAUGACCUUGUUUACCUGGAAGAGUGUGGGAUGAAUGCCUCCUCCUAUGGGGACUCGCAAGUGCUUUAGCAAAAGGAUAAAUUGCUAAUUGUGGCAUUUCGUGGAUCAGCAGGAUUAUUUCUCCUUGCUAAAGAGGAUUUUGUUGGUCCUGAAUUCUGAGGAGGUGGGACUAGGAAUGGGCUCCAUGAGCCUGUGUAUGACUCAGGGAAUAUUAGGACUUUGGCACAGCCUCAUGGGUUGGGAGUAAGUCUUGGCUCUUCCCUAGCCUGAAUGACAGACAUCAGAUCAUUCUGGUGCUUUGUCCAUGAAGAUGUAGAUUCUGAGCCCACCCAACUAAUCUUUUCACUUGAGCACAGAAACAGCCCCGGGAAUCGGACAGACCCGUGUCUUUCAGGUUUGCUUCACAGAGCCCCAGGGGUUGACAAUAGGUGCCUUGGAGACUGCCUGCAUGGGGAUUUUUAAAAAGCUUUCUUUGUUAAAGGUUUGUAAACCACUCCUCUGAGCCUGUUUUCAUUUUAUAGAUUAUUCAGGGAACUGAACUGCACAGAGAUCCAGAAAGUGGGUAGUGCAGGCUGUAGUGCUGAUAACUACUGUACUACUUGGAUCUUUGUGCUCCCAAAUACCAAAUGGAAGAGGAUCUCUGAGAGUCCUUUGCAAAGAUCUUGUAGGGACUUUAGGCUGGGGCCUUCGGAAAAUUCCAGAGGAUUCCAAUGGAGAUUUUGAGGGACUGACUCAGAAGAACAAAGAGAAUGAUAAUGGUGAUGUCCCUGCUUUUUACAACAGAUCAUGUUCUGAUAUAUAUGCAAAUCUGUGUAAAGUAAACCCUACCUAAAAUGUACUGGGGACCCAAGAUGGACUGCCUGUAUUGCUUCCAGGAUAAAGUCCAAUUUCUAGCUCUGGUUUUUAUAACCUUGCUUCAGCUCACCUUUUCCGUCAUCAUCCCCUCCAUCUCCUCUCCCACGCUGGGAAAUGGAUGGCUGCACUAUACUGUGUGAUGUUAUUGCUAUGUUCAUGCCAUCCCCUCUGCCUGGAAUGCCCUUCUGCAUGAAUGCCUGUGAAAUGUUGUUGCUCCUUUGUAUGGCCUGGCUUCCGUGGUUGGCAGGAAUCUCUUCUUUCGUGGUAUUCCUGUCAUCUUUGUGCAUCACAGUCAGCUUUGUAUUCCUAGCUUGUAAGCUACUUGAGGAUAGGGGCAUGUCUGAAUCUAUUUAAUCUCUUGCACCUGUUUGGCAAAUUGAUGUUUUAAGUAUUUAAAUAACUAAAGCUCUCUCUACAGUACAUACUCACUUUUGAUUUAUGAAUUGGCAAAAUUCAACUUUUUUCCUUGAAUAUUCUUAAAGUGAGAUGAAUUCCAAAGGAGAGUGUUCUGUGUGUGGCCUUCAUUGAGUGGUUUUCUGUUACCAGAAAGCUCUUGGUGGCCUUCCUCUUCCCUGGUGUCAAGGUUGACUGUUAUAGGAAAUGGGAGGGGAGAGGGCCGUUUCUGCCACGCAUUGUCCUAGGUUCUUAACAUUAUUUAAUCCUUAUAAUGCAAUGUUAUCCUCAUUUUACAGAUGAAACCUGAGACCAAAGAACAUGUAACACAUAAAGUACAUUGCAGAGUUAGGAUGUGAACCCAACUCUGAUUCUAAACCUAAUGCUCUCACUCUUUCAUUCAGAGGUUCAGUCAGUUCUUUGUAGGCUGUAGAUCCAGAGAAGCUGCCGUAGCCAACAAUGAAGUUGUUAGUUUUUAAAACAUCUAUGUGGUAAGUUGGUCUGGCACUUAAAAAUGUAUUGUUUCCCAGGCACGGUGGUUCACACCUGUAAUCCCAGCAUUUUGGGAGGCCGAGGCAGGCGGAUCAUUAGGUCAAAAGAUUGAGACCAUCCUGACCAACAUGGUGAAACCCCGUCUCUACUAAAAGUACAAAAAUUAGCUGGGUGUGGUGGCGCAUGCCUCUAGUCCCAGCUACCUGGGAGGCUGAGGCAGGAGAAUUGCUUGAACCCAGGAGGCAGAGGUUGCAGUGAGCCAAGAUCAUGCUACUGCACUACAGCCUGGCAACAAAGCGAGACUCUGUCUAAAAUAUAUAUAUAUAUAUAUAUUGUUUACUACUCACCACAGAUCUGCAGGAGUUCACUGAUCUCUAGGAUCUGCCUUAACUCCAACUUACAUGUUUUGGUCACUAUUACAAACUGUCAUCCCAGAAUGAUGCUGCAGAGGCUAGGGCUAGGACACAGACCAGUGUUUCCAUGUGGGAAUUCCCUCCCAGUAUUUCUUAGGAAAUGUAUGUUUUUUGAAUCCAUAAUCCCUAGAAAAAUCAGUUGAGGAAAUGAGAAGUAUUGUAAUUAUUCUGUGAAUAGUAACACUUACCAUUAUGGAGACAUCACUAGUUUGAAAGAAUCCAACUUCAUCAAAUAUUAACGUACCGAGUUGAAGGCUACAAGAACUGAGACAGGAGCAUAGCAGAGAGAAACGGUCACCAUCUCAUUAGCCCUAUUUUUGGUUGUUGUGAUGCCAUUACAUCUGUAUAUCUGGCCAUAUCAGCUGCUAAUGGUGAGUUCUUGCAAACAAAAUGAUUUGAUAAACAACCUACCAUACUUUAUACAAAUCUUAUGGUGUUCCGAGAAAUAAACUUUGGAAGCAAAAUAAGUUAACAGUCUGGACACGAUUGAUUCUAUAUUCUGUUUACCUUGCUCUAGGCUAUUCAAAUGUUAUAUUUAUUUGAACACUAUCCAAUAUAUGUUCCCUGGCAUCUUCCUGUCUUUUAAAUAUUCUCUGUACGCUACAGUUCUUUGUAAGUAAAAAUAAGCUUAAUAUGUCUACUUAGCAAACAAAGUUUUUCCAGAUACCUAUAAUAAUGAGGAAAACAGUAUAAAGAAUGAAGUAUUUGAAGAAUAACUUAUAAUUUGGGGGAUUUCUGAGAAUUCUACUUCUUUGUCCCUAAUUUCCGAAGGUAAAUGUUUGUUGUGAAUUUGGAAACACUAGACUACAGAAAAGCAGGCACUCUCUAGCCUGGGAGGCCCACUGAUCUUAGGAGGGUCCAUAUAGCUGCUUAUUGCAGACCUUGCACUAGAACCCAGGUCUUUUGACACCUGGUGCCACUUUUCAUUCCAUUCCAUUAAUUAUAGCCCAGAGAAUAACCAC
rnacentral:lncRNA from 1 species